rnacentral:rRNA from 1 species
AUUGAACGCUGGCGGCAUGCUUUACACAUGCAAGUCGAACGGUAACAGGCCGCAAGGUGCUGACGAGUGGCGAACGGGUGAGUAAUGCAUCGGAACGUGCCCAGUCGUGGGGGAUAACGCAGCGAAAGCUGUGCUAAUACCGCAUACGAUCUAUGGAUGAAAGCGGGGGACCGUAAGGCCUCGCGCGAUUGGAGCGGCCGAUGUCAGAUUAGGUAGUUGGUGGGGUAAAGGCUCACCAAGCCAACGAUCUGUAGCUGGGCUGAGAGGACGACCAGCCACACGGGGACUGGGACCGGGCCCAGAAUCCUACGGGAGGCAGGAGUGGGGAAUUUUGGACAAUGGGCGCAAGCCUGAUUCAGCAAUGCCGCGUGCAGGAAGAAGGCCUUCGGGUUGUAAACUGCUUUUGUACGGAACGAAACGGUCUGGGUUAAUACCCUGGGCUAAUGACGGUACCGUAAGAAUAAGCACCGGCUAACUACGUGCCAGCCGCCGCGGUAAAAC